rnacentral:lncRNA from 1 species
GCUGCUUGCUUUGCAUUGAAUUUAGUCUACAUUUGGAGUAUACCUUAUGAGAGUCUUGUCAUACUUUUGAAAUUAAGAUCACUUACGCACUCCACCCACAAAUGCAUUACUCCUACUCUGGGAUAUAAGCACAAUCAUUUUCACCUUCAUCCAGAUCCACCUUAAAAAUGUUCUUUUUCCUACACUAGGAGUAAACACCCAAAAAUAUACCCUAUAGGGCAACCCCCA